UAUAAGGCGCGACGUGUCUACGGCCUACUCCACCCGACCCACCCCAGCCUAACCCGCCUCCUACCGCCGGAGGCAGUCGUCGCGGGCGAGCGAGCGACGGCGUCAGCCGGAGCGAGGGAGUGCGCGUCGCCGUGACUGGCCGCCGAUGGAUCCACCCGUGCCCUGCCCCUGCCUCCCGGAACUGGCCCCAACCCACUGCUCGCCUCCAUCCCGCGCGCCGGCCGUCGACUUCCUCCCUCGCGCCGGCCGCCAACUCCCUCCCGCACGCCACCACCGUCCCCCGCGCCGGUCGCCGCCUCUCUCUCGUGCGCCGCCGCCGUUCCCCUUUGCCUCUUCGCGCCGCCUCCCCCUCUGCCCUGGCGCCUGACUCUCACGCCGCCGCGCUACGCCCAACCUCCCGCGUGACCAGCAGUGUCACCACCCCUGAGCUCCACCGUCCAGACCCCGAGCUCGAUAGGCUGCUCGACCGUGUCGACGAGGGGGAUCCUCCUGGUGGCUGCUGCUCCUCGGCGUCCACGGGCUAGGAGGAGCCCCAGGUCAGCACUCACCAGCGCUCCCUCAGUAGCUCGAUAUAAAUCGAGAGGCAGCGAUAGCAGAUAGGGGAAGCAGAGCAGAGCAGAAGCAGAAGCAGGCAAGAGGCGAGCAGGAAGCAAGAAAGGUGGAGAUGGCGCCCAUCAAGCUAUAUGGGAUGAUGCUGUUCGGACAACGUGACCCGCGUGGCCACGAUGCUCAACGAGCUGGGCCUCGACUUCGACUUCGUCGACAUCGACCUCCGCACCGGCAUCGACCUCCGCACCGGCACCCACAAGCACCCCGACUUCCUCAAGCUCAACCCUUGGUAUACGCGCAUCAGUCUCGGUAGCAGUAGGAUUUACUCGCACCGGGUCACCGACCGGAUGUAUCUUGUUCUUCUGUUCACCCGAGCUCGACAGGCUGCUCGAUCGUGUCGACGAGCGGGAUCCUCCUGGCGGCUGCUGCUCCUCGGCGUCCAUGAGCUGGGCUCCUCGAAUCCCGUCGUCGCCCUCCACGAGCGGGUUCCUCCCGGCGGCCACUGCUCGUCCACGAGUGGUGCUGCCUCUUAUCCUGUCGACGGCGUCCACGAGCAGCGCUAGGAGAGAUUCCAUACGCGCUGCACAGCCAUCCAAGUUGAGCACACACAACAGUCCAAGGUGAUGCAUGAUCCCCAUGCCUUCUCCCCUGGACGCCCCUCCAUUGUUUGUUGAAAUGCCUACAAGAAUUAUAACUACUAUUUUUCCAUCUUUCCCUUCUUUUUUAAACUGAAGCUAAACUCAGGUAAAAGAAUUGCAUUGUAUUUUGUGCUUGUGAAAUGCUCAAAUGUUCGUUUGCUGCUGUUCAUAUUCGCAUGUGAAAAAAAGUUCAUGUAAAUUACGUGGCUAGUGUAGUUCAGAAAAAAGUGUGGAGAUGAAGCAAAUCUAAAGCUCACUUUCAGGAACUUUGCUUGCAACACCUAGAAAGUUCAAAAUUUGUGGCACGUUCAGUACAAAAAAUGUGGAGAUGAAGUAAAUUUGAAACUUUGCAGGGGCUGGGGGUACUUCACUACUAAAUGAACAUUCAACUUAUGGACAUAUAUACUCAGUUAUUAUUGUAUAACAUAGAGUUACCUUGGACGUUCAUGCUUCUUCUCUGGUGUAUAUUCAAUUCAACAUAUGGUGGUUCUUCAGGUAGCCUUGGCGUGCAUUUUCAGUUCAUCUUGCAGGUGAAGGAGCUCCCCUUCAGUUUAUCUUGCAGGUGUGUUUGGGCAGUACAAACACAUCACCAUAGUUUGUACAGAUUAUCUCUGGAUCCAAAGAAAGAAAGAAAUCUCCAGCCAACUUGCCUUGAAACUAAUCAAGCCCUAUUUUUUGUUGUCACCGAGCAACAAGAAAACAGCCCCCAGGCCGUUCACAGCCGCCACCGAGGCCGUUCAACUAGGGGUCCUUCAACAACGCAGCAGUCAGAAGCUUUUCUCUCGUUUUCUCCCGCCUCUGUAAUUUCUUUUUGAUUUUGGGGACUGAGUGAGUGCAGUUCACCGAGGCAUUCCAUGUGCUAAUGGGCUAUGCUUGCUUAGCACAAAUUCAUGAACUGUCAAUUUUUUUAAUUGAACUGAUGCUACUCUUGAUUCAGAUCUGAGGGAAGAAGACAAAACUAAGUGAUUCAGUUCAUCAUUGGCAUCCUUGUGAACAGUUCUGAAGAUAGCUUUCAGAGACUAAUUAGGGUGGUUCAAUGUGUCGAGCGGUGGCAGCGCUUGCUCCCAAUGGUUGCUCGCGCAAGGAGGAUACAGGGAUGCUACAUUGCAGGAGGAGCAGUAGCAUGUAGUAGCUAGCUGAAGAAAAGGAGGUUCAAAGAUUGUCGUGGAGCAAGUUCAAGAGAUUAGUUUGGUGAAAAUAAUGUGAUCUUUUGGUCAGGAUUUUGGAUGAUCCAUAGCCAUCAGACAAGCAGUUCAAGGCCUACUACGCAAGUCAUCCAUCGUCUUCUACGCAUGAGCUUCUUGUCUCUACACAUCUAGCACCGGAGUAUCCCCUCCCCUUGCCGCACACACAUGCCCGCGGUCGAGCUAGUGUUGUUUGUGAUUGCUGGUCGUGACUCUUACGUUGUCCUGUUGUUUGUGAUUGCUGGUCGUGACUCUUACGUUGUCAUUGGACAAAUAAUUUGUUCUGAAACUCUGUACUGACGGGACCUUCAACAUAUAUGGUGUUUAGAAUUUUUUAUGUAACUCUGUACUGUCGACCUUCAACAUAUAUGGUGUUGUCAGUAUUUGGUGUUAUCAGUAUUCUGAUUUGUAGGCCAAAAUGGUGAACAUCUAAACAUUAGUUCGAUUU